rnacentral:rRNA from 1 species
CCUGAGAAACCCAAAAGAUCGAAUGGAGAGAUUCAUCGUCAGCUCAAAUUGUAUAUGUAUAAUUUAUGAUGCGAGUUACUCUUGUAGUAUUGCUUGUACAUAUUUGUACAUUUAUUUGCAAUUUCUUGUCGACGUGCACUUCUCUCCUAGUAGAACAUCGUGACCCGUUGAGCGUUGGUUUACAAACUAAAUGGGUAGACUUUAAUAUUUUUUUCGAAAUAUUAAAAACCUUUAGUUUUAAAUAUAUUAACCAACUACUCGGCGGUACUCUAAUGGUAUUUAGCCGCAAAUAUUUAAAUGCGUCCAUAACCGUCGCAAGCGAGGUGAGUAUUUUAGUAGUACGGACCUAGUGCCGUCGCUAAUACUUACCAGCUGUUGGUUGUUACGGUAUUCUAGGACUGGCUAAAAUUUUUAUUACCGGUCAGCGAUGCUACUGCUUUGGGUACUUUCAGGACCCGUCUUGAAACACGGACCAAGGAGUCUAACAUGUACGCNAGUCAUUGGGAUUAUUUAAAAAUUAAACCUAAAGGCGUAAUGAAAGUAAAGGUCGUCCUUGCGUCGACUAAAGGAGGAUAAAUUAUAUUAUGAUAUAAUUUCGCACUCCUGGGGCGUCUCAUUCUCAUUAUGAGAAGAGGCGCACCUAG